GACAGCAGUAGCCACGGUAAUACAGAGGGUGCGAGCGUUAAUCGGAUUUACUGGGCGUAAAGCGUGCGUAGGCGGCUUCUUAAGUCGGAUGUGAAAUCCCUGAGCUUAACUUAGGAAUUGCAUUCGAUACUGGGAAGCUAGAGUAUGGGAGAGGAUGGUAGAAUUCCAGGUGUAGCGGUGAAAUGCGUAGAGAUCUGGAGGAAUACCGAUGGCGAAGGCAGCCAUCUGGCCUAAUACUGACGCUGAGGUACGAAAGCAUGGGGAGCAAACAGGAUUAGAUACCCCCGUAGUCCCUGUCUCUUAUAC
rnacentral:rRNA from 1 species